rnacentral:rRNA from 1 species
ACGGGAGGCAGCAGUGGGGGAUAUUGGACAAUGGGGGAAACCCUGACCCAGCAACGCCGCGUGAAGGAUGAAGGUCUUCGGAUUGGAAACUUCUUUAAUCGGGGAAGAAAAAAAUGACCUACCCGAAGAAUAAGCCACGGCUAACUACGUGCCAGCAGCCGCGGUAAUACGUAGGUGGCAAGCGUUAUCCGGAUUUACUGGGUGUAAAGGGCGUGUAGGCGGCUCUGCAAGUCAGAAGUGAAAUUCCCGGGCUCAACCUGGGCGCUGCUUCUGAAACUGCAGAACUUGAGUACUGGAGGGGAAAGCGGAAUUCCUAGUGUAGCGGUAAAAUGCGCAGAUAUUAGGAGGAACACCGGUGGCGAAGGCGGCUUUCUGGACAGUAACUGACGCUGAGGCGCGAAAGCGUGGGGAGCAAACAGGAUUAGAUACCCUGGUA